GAACCCAAAAAGAAAAAAUGCACCAGUAUUUUCGAAAACGAUUAAUUUGGCGGGCAUCGUUCUUUCUCAUUUCUUAAACCUGCCCUAAACCCUAGCCAGAUUGGGGAAGAGAAAAGAGGAAAUUCGAAAGCAACAACAAUGGCGACGGCUGGAUUAUAUCGUCGGGUUCUUCCAUCACCUCCCGCCAUUGAGUUUGCUUCCACUGAAGGCAAGAAACUUUUCAUAGAAGCUGUUCAAGAUGGAACAAUGGAGGGUUUCUUCAAAUUGAUUUCUUACUUCCAAACACAAUCAGAGCCUGCCUAUUGUGGAUUAGCUAGCCUUUCAAUGGUUUUAAAUGCGCUUUCCAUUGAUCCCGGGAGAACUUGGAAAGGACCAUGGAGAUGGUUUGAUGAAUCUAUGCUGGACUGUUGUGAGCCUCUAGAAAAAGUAAAAUCUAAAGGGAUUUCCUUUGGGAAACUUACGUGUUUGGCUCAAUGUGCUGGCGCAAAUGUUCAAGCUUUUCGUACCAGCGAAAGUUCUAUUAAAGAGUUUAGAAAUUAUGUGAAGACAUGCUCGGUAUCAGACGAGUGUCAUGUCAUCUCAUCCUACCAUAGAGGGAUUUUUAAGCAGACUGGAUCUGGUCACUUCUCUCCUAUUGGUGGUUAUCAUGGUGGAAAAGAUAUGGCAUUGGUUCUAGAUGUUGCUCGUUUUAAAUAUCCACCUCAUUGGAUCCCUCUAUCUCUUCUUUGGGAAGCCAUGGAUACAGUAGUUGAAGCAAGCGACGAACACAGAGGGUACAUGCUCAUAUCAAGACAGCAACAUGAGCCAGCACUUCUUUAUACCUUGAGUUGUAAGCAUGAGAGCUGGGCUAGUAUAGCAAAAUACUUGAUGGAGGAUGUACCUCUUCUCUUAAAGUCAGAGAAUGUGCAGGAUAUUGAGGGAGCCAUCUCUGUUGUGUGCAUGUCAUUACCUUCUAACUUCAGGGACUUUAUUAAGUGGGUGGCUGAAGUUCGAAGGCAUGAAGAUGAUGGUCAAAGUCUAAGCCAGGAGGAAAUGAGAAGGCUUGUGCUGAAGGAAGAGCUACUCAAACAAGUUCAGGAGACGGGUCUAUAUAAACAAGUUACUAUAUUUCUAUCUUCAGCAUUGUGUUCCAGAAAAGGUGUUAUGUUUGGUCAUGAACACAGUUUAUCUGAUGUUGCAGCAGCGGUUUGUUGUGAGGGAGCAGAGCUUUUAAAUGGUCAACCUGGCUCUUUUGGUGGAUUUUGUUGUGAGAAAACAUCCGUGAAACAGAUAAGAGGUGAUGGUGGAAAACCCGUAACUCUAGUCUCGGGUACUGUAAAGGAUGGUGCAAGUCAGCAAGGAUUGCAAAUUUUGGUCCCCAUGACUCAAAAAAAAUUCAAUUGCUGCUCGGAUCCAAGUUGUCCUGGAAGGCACCCUGCUGGAAAUGAUGUUCUGACUAUACUUUUGCUUGCACUGCCUGUGCAAACAUGGUCUGGUAUUAAAGAUGAAAUGCUUGUCGAAGACUUGACAAGAUUGGUUUCUACUGAACAUCUUCCUGCUUUAUUGAAGGAGGAGGUAUUGCAUUUGCGACGUCAGCUUAUUCUUCUCGAGAGAUUUCAGGAUAAUGAGGUGGAUCAAUGGAUGGCGGUCUAGGCGGUCUAGCCGGUCUUAGUGCACUUUCCUUGUAAUGUAUAUAAUCUUUUCUGAUCCCUCACAUUCUACUUUGGGAAGCAACUGACGUCCAAAAAUCGCUAUUCAUUCCCGACUCUCUUGAGUCUUGGCCAUGAUUUGAAAUCCCUUUAUCAAGAUUUGAAUCAGUCACUUUUGCCUGCAAAGAAGAAGCACAGACAAACUUAGCAGGGCUCUACUGAAACUAUAAAGACUCGAGAAGUUUAAAACCAGAGGCAUACAAUACAUCAGAAGGAAUUGAAGUGAGGAGAUAACAGAAGCAUAGUUACAAGCUCAUGAGCUAACUGCAGAGCAGAACAAAAUCAAGUUGACUGAAUAGAGUGGUUAGUUAGCUCAUGAGUUCUACUGGAUGUAUCUACAAAGUAUAUUAAAGAACUUGUAACGGUUGAUCUGGCCUUGAAACCACUCUAUUAUCAUGUGGAAAAGUGGCCUAAAUGCAGCCUUAUUGUUGAGUUCCCUUUCUGUCAAGAUGAUGACACAAUCAGCAUAAAAAAUUUACCAACUAUGCAAUUUCCCUUGGACAU